AGCCCCAGGAGGAAGGGGGGACUGUUAGCAGCAUAGGAUUGAGGAGUUGGAAGAGACCUUUAGAACAGCUGGUCAUUAUGCCAACUGGGAGCCUGCACUAAGUUCGGCAUCAAUAUGGUGACCUCCUGGGAGCAGGGGGCCACCAAGUCGCCUAAGGAUGGCUGAACUGGCCCAGGUCAGAAAGAGAGCGGGUCAGAACUCCCG
rnacentral:sRNA from 1 species